rnacentral:sRNA from 1 species
GCGCCAUUUUGCGAACGGCGAGCAGCGGCGGCGGCGCGGAGAGGGGCAGCGGAGGUUUUCCUGGUUUCGGACCCCAGCGGCCGGAUGGUGAAAUCCUCCCUGCAGCGGAUCCUCAAUAGCCACUGCUUCGCCAGGAGAGAAGGAAGGGAAUAAACCCAGCGCCACCAUCCACGCCAGCCGCACCAUGCCGCUCCUAAGCCUGCACAGCCGCGGCGGCAGCAGCAGUGAGAGUUCCAGGGUCUCCCUCCGCUGCUGUAGUAACCCGGGUCCGGGGCCUCGGUGGUGCUCCUGAUGCCCCUCACCCACCCCUGAAGAUCCCAGGUGGGCGAGGGAAUAGUCAGAGGGAUCACAAUCUUUCAGCUAACUUAUUCUACUCCGAUGAUCGGCUGAAUGUAACAGAGGAACUAACAUCCAACGACAAGACGAGGAUUCUCAACGUCCAGUCCAGGCUCACAGACGCCAAACGCAUUAACUGGCGAACAGUGCUGAGUGGCGGCAGCCUCUACAUCGAGAUCCCGGGUGGCGCGCUGCCCGAGGGGAGCAAGGACAGGUGAGGGGCAAGGACAGGCGGGGAGUGCUUACCCAGGGAGCAGGACAGAUGAGGGAGGGCACUGCCUUCAGGCAGCACAUACGGGGGCCACCAUCGCUUUGUGGGUGGGGACCGGGUCCCUUUUUUUUUCUGAGAUGGAGUCUUGCUUUUGUCGCCCAGGCUGGAGUGCAGUGGCAUGAUCUCGGCUCACUGCAACCUCUGCCUUCCGGGUUCAA